UCUCUCCUCUUUCUCUCUCUUAAUUCAACUGAUAAUUAUGCGCGUUGAAUCAUAAAGUUAAUUAUAGAGUAGACUGAAGAAAAAAGAUAUUCUUCUUCUUGCUUUUCCCUUUUGUCUUCCUUCCAUUUUCUUUUUUUUUCAUACUUUUUUCAUGCAUUUGGAGCUGGGAAAUUACGGCUGAUGAUAAGGAGAUGUCUGCUCCUGUUAUGGAUGUGAAUGGUGCUGUCACUGGUCAUAUAAUUUUGACUACCAUUGGCGGAAAAAAUGGCGAGCCGAAUCAGACAGUCAGUUACAUGGCUGAACGUGUUGUCGGGACUGGAUCAUUUGGAGUUGUAUUUCAGGCAAG